UACAGAGGGGGCAAGCGUUGUUCGGAAUUACUGGGCGUAAAGGGCGCGUAGGCGGCCUGCUAAGUCGAACGUGAAAUCCCUGGGCUCAACCCAGGAACUGCGUCCGAUACUGGUCGGCUUGAAUCCGGGAGAGGGAUGUGGAAUUCCAGGUGUAGCGGUGAAAUGCGUAGAUAUCUGGAGGAACACCGGUGGCGAAGGCGACAUCCUGGACCGGUAUUGACGCUGAGGCGCGAAAGCCAGGGGAGCAAACGGG
rnacentral:rRNA from 1 species